AUUUCACUUUUGUUUGUAGUUAACGUUCCAUAAAUUGAAUUAAUACAUAUGUAUGUGCAAGCAAUACCCCUCGAUGUUUUAAAAAGACGGUUGAGAAUUGGGAAAGGUAACUGUAUAUUAAAUUUUUAUUAAUAGCUUAAAACUAAGCCAGUAUUUGUUAGUUAGUAUAUUGGUUUCAAAUGGAAUAUAUGUACAAUCUUAAUACUUGUCACCCUUUUUUAAUUUUAUGUCCCCAUUCCGCCCAUAUAUUGUAAAUCUUAGGAUUUUAGAAUACGAUCAUUUAAUAUGAUAACAUCCAGACCCGUAGAAAAAGCUUUAAUUUAAGUUAAUUUGCUUUAGCUAUUCUCUAACCGCCUCCCAGAGCCUGGGAAGCAGCUAAAAAAUUGGAGGAGAAGCAGUCGCUUGAUGCGAUAAGCAGCACCUUCAAGGUGUGAGCAAAUAACGAAAAAUAAGGAAAAUUCGUAUGUACGUACAUAGAUAAAAGGCAGCUGCAGAUAGCUAAAUGCCAUGCUUUAUGAGCAAAUUUAAGGAUCCGAUACUCGCAAGGUUCCAGGAAGCGAGGGAAGCUACUCGUCCCGCUUGCCCUUCAAGAGAGUUCAAACACUCUCUGCCAAUGCAAAGCAAAUGCAAGCGGAAAAGCAAACAAUAAGGCAGAAAGACAAGCGCAACAAUCGUCACGUAGCCCAGCACACACACCAAUGCGCAAUUGGCACACGCACAUGCGAGCGACACACACAAACGCAAAGAAGCCACACGCACAAGCGUUAAUGCGAUAGCCAAGUGAGUCAGAAAGAGAAGGUCGCCAGCUAAGGGAGUGCGAGGAGGUCAGAGAUACUAUAGAUAUUUAAAUAGGUUGAUACAAAUAUUUGCUAAAAAUGAUUUAAAGACACACUAAGAAAGAAGAGCUACAGAACGGCGGAAGCUUGGCGAAUGUACAAAAACCACACAAUUGGGUCAACGGCCCAGUUCAAAGUCGAUGCCAAACAAAGUGCACACGGAGAAAAUGGGGAGACCUUUCAAUUCACCAUGAAAUAAAUAAACUUCUCUGAAAUCUGCCAACUUGCUAAAGCCAAUAUAAAGUCGACAAAGACGUCUUAAAUCAGUUAUGCAAUUGGUGACGAUAAAAGUUAAGAUCAGAACAUCGCAACAACCAUAAGACCACAAGCACUAUGGCCACUAAACUGAUUUCUUUAAGGGCAUGCAUACAUACAUAUUUCCGUGUACAUUGUAAUGAUCGAUUGGCGCCCGUUUCGUCUGUAAUGUAUUACGUGCGACAACGUCGACUCGGGCACGUGUACCACACCAGCUCGCAGCCCUUUUAGUGGGCGGAGAACCAGCUGGGCGACCUUGGUGACGUGCGUCUGCCUACGUAUGUAUAUAGCUCGCUCUGGCUCGCUUCGGGAGACUAAAGGCAAUACUUUCCACGCAAUUGGAACUGGAUUACAUACAGAUGUAUGCAUGUACAUAGAUAAAAGAAAUUGCAACAAAAAGGUUCUUUCUUGGAUAAAUGGAUAAUCGACAGAAUUUAUUUUGAUCUGAGUAAACUUGAUUAGAUUUAUACUGGAAAAUACUUUCACCUUCAUUAAAAACUACAUUAAACAUCCAA